UUUUUUUUUUUUUUUUUUUUUGAGAUCGCUUAACUGAACUGGUAGGAAAAAUCCAGUGAAUUGAUAAUUAUAGAAGAAAUAUUUUAUAUUUAAAGAUGAUAAACCUACUUAGGAAUUUCUACAACUCAGUGAUACAAGGAAGGAGAACAUAUUGAAAUGAACAUGUCCUUGUACUGCUGUUGGAACAGAGCACAGCCCAUCCAGGAGUUAUGCUGACAGGAGGAAUAUUUCUUCAAUGUGUCAUGGUUGUUAGAUUUGAUCUUUUAAUUCUUAUGUUAAAUAACCCUAUAAUACCUCAAACUAUAUUGCUUUUAUAUUGAUAGAUGUAUUUAAAUUAAUAGAAAGUAGUUGCCAAUCUUAUCCACCCCCCACCCACCCUAAGUUACUUAUUCAUUUCAUUGCCUGCUCAUAGCUAUGAAAUCAGAGACCUUCUCUUGCUCUAUUUAAUCUGCUGGUGGGUAUGGAGUCCCAGUUUCAUAUGGAACACUGGGCAGAGCCCCUGCAUGAGGAUGGAGGCAUAUUCCAUAGAAGAUGUCAUUCCUACUGUUUAGGAGCUCACUAUCCAGUUGAAGGAACAUUUGAAGCAAGGGAAAAUAUAGUUAUGGAUCAACAUGCCAGUGAGAGCAAAUUGAUAUAGAAACUCUGCUGGCCUGAAGGAGAGAUGAUGGAUCCAAAUACUUUUAAUUCAGAUUGUUUUCUGCUUGAGUAUGGUCUGCAGCCGUCAGUCACCAUGUGUCUGAAUGGUUGUCAAGAGCAUGAUUUGAAACUUUCACAUCCCACCAUUCAUCUCUCUUCUAUUCUUUUUCCUGUUACCCUUGCCCUAUAAAUUGGACAAAUUGUCCAUCUGUGGGGUGAUUUAUAGUUGAGCUUAUAUAUUUUCAUACUUACUUCAAGAGAUUACAUUUACUCCUUUCUACAAAAUAAAGAAGAAAAUCUACUCUGUCAUGUCCUACCAAAGAGAUAGUUUAUUAUGUCUAGACUAAUUAUUAUAGUAAGUGCAUUAGGCAGCAACUGUUCUUUUGUUACACAACAUGAGAAAAUUCUAUUUGAUUCUGUUAAAUAACUAAAUAAUGUGAUUGACUCUAACCACGCUUUGAAAGUUAUACUUUGUCUAUCCACAGAGCUCCACAUGACAGGGCUUAAUUAGUUCUAAUAAGCUAUACCUGGUGGAACCUGCUACAUUAGUCAGGGUAGGAUCCAUCUCCAGUUUUUGUUCUCUGGUCUCUUUAAAAAUAGUGAGGACUCCAAAAGAGCAUUGGCCAAAGUGGGUUCCAUCCAUUGAUUUUUUUUUUUUAUAUUGGAAAUAAAAAAUCAGAAAAAUUUAUAAUUAAAAAAAUCAACAACAAAUCUGUUACUUGUCAAUAUAAACAAUAUUUUUUUUCUGUAAAAUUACUAAAUUUUCCAAAACAAAAAAAAAAUUCAGAAGGAACGUGCCCUUUAACUACUGGAUUCUUUUGUCAGCUUCUGCAUCAGUUGGUUGCAAUAUCACAGACCAUGUAAACUUGAAAAAUUUUACAUUGCACUUGUUUUGUUUGUUUGUUUGUUUUGCCUUUUUGUCUUUUUAGGGCUGGACCUGCAGCACAUGGAGGUUCCCAGGCUAGGGGUUGAAUCGGAGCUGCAGCUGCCUGCCUACACCACAGCUCACAGCAACGCUGGAUCCUUAACCUACUGAGCAAGGCUAGGGAUUGAAUCCACAUCCUCAUGGAUGCUAGUCGGGUUGGUUAACCACUGAGCCACAACAGGAACUCUAUACUUUGCACUUGUGAGGGAAUGAGAGCAAAAGGAAAAAUAAUAUCUUCAUAUUAUUAUGAAAAUAUUCGGACUCAUGGAUUCCUUGAAAGAGUUUCAGGAAUCUUAGUGAUCUCCAAUCCAUACUCUGAGAACCCCUGGGCUAAUUUAUAUUAUGAUAAUAUACAAUCCUCAAACAGUAGUGGCUUAAUCAUAAAGUGUUUUUUUUUUCUUGUCUCUCAUGUUGGCAUCCAUUGUGGAUCAGUUGGAUGUUUUGCUCUGUCAUUGUAACCCUCGCUCUGGGAUCCAUUUUAGUGGAAGAAACUCUUUAGAACAUUGCUGAUAACUGUGGCAAAGGAAAAAGAAAGCAUGGCAGAAUACACACUGAUUCUUAAAGCCUCCCCUGCAAAUGACACCUAGUACUUCUGCUCACAUGCUAUUAGGUAAAGCAAUUCACAUAUCCUAGACCAACUUCAUGAAGUUAGGGAGGUAUAACCCUCAUAUAGGGAUAGACACAGGCUAUUUGUGAAUAGUAAUACUGUCUGCCAUACUCACUAAUUUUUUAAAACACAUUUAACUCUUGUGUCAAAUGAUUUGAUGCUCACAGACUGAUCUUAGUCAGAGUUUAGUAAGGUUAAUCUUUAUCUUUGCCUCUAAACCUGGCCCUUUUCUAGGUUUCUAGAGUUUAACAAAUGCCUAACAUGUAUUUAGUGUUUAAUAAACAUUCAUCAUAUAAAUGGACAACUAUCUGAUAAUAUAUAAUUUAGAUAUGCUGUAUAUAGUGCAUGACACUUAUGUGCCUAAAAUUCCAAGAAUGACAUAUUCAAAUACUGGCCAGAUUAAUUUUGGAUCUGGAAAGGUUCUUAUUGAUAAUCCAGCUCAACCAUGUCAUUUAACAGAUGAUUCAGUUGAAGCGUGAAGAAAUUAAAUAACAUUAUUUUAACCCUAGAAAUGGAAAUAGAGUUAAUUGAUCUGGCAUGUAUUUUGAAAAUGGUGUUGAGUUUAGGAGGGCUUCUAGAUAAAUCCUAAUAAAUACUCAAAUGAUAAUCAUCUUGUUGAUUUCUGCAUCAGCAUUCCAUAGUGUCCAAAAUCUAAAAUUUCUGGUACUCAAAAGAAAAGAUAAUUUUAAAGAAACUUUAUCUUAAAACUUUUAUUUACUGUGCUUCCCUUGAGGUGCCACUGGACUAAAAAAAUCUUUGCCGAAUUUCUAGUUCUGUUACAGGUUGAAACUCAUUCUGAAGGCCACCCUCUUGACUAUUUCUAUUGUAAAAGCCAUUUUCUAAAACAAGUUAUGCUAAUAGUGGUAUCUUGCAGACGAUAGCAAGGUUAUUUAAUAUAAACCUCCAAGAUGUAGGCAAUUGCUCCCACCUUCAAGAAAUCCAGUUAAACGUUUAUAUUUUAUUCUCAUUAACUGUAGAACUAAAAGUGUCAAACUUAAGUAAAAGAGACUGAAUAUAGACAAGUAUACAGCAGUGUGUUUUCCCACAGUACAGUAAAAAUUAAUCGAUGAAAAAAAUAAAAUCUUGUAAUUAUAAGAUACUUUCUUCCUAAGAGCAAUAUAUUAUGCCAAUUAAGCUUUGCAAUAGCCCAAUAAGAGUAGGUAAGGGACAAAUAUUCCCUUUUCAUAGAUGAAAAAAUCAAGGUACAAUCAGGUUAGAGGAGAAGCCAGAGGUCACACAGUGAGUCAUUAACAAAGCCAAGAAGGCACAAUGAUGUUUUUUUCUUCCAAUAUGGUGCCCCAGACUUGUAGCCUCUGUAGCCAUGAUUAUACAUUUUGAUAAAUAACAGAAAUGCAAAAUGUGUCUUAGUCAGAAUAUGUGGAAUGAAACCUAAAUUGUAAAUUUGGCAAUUAUCUUUGCAGGAAACAAGAAAUUGCUUCUACUUUCAAAAACAGGCUCCCCAAUAUUUUUUCUCAUUUUCUUUGUAUUCAAAAAUAUCUAUUAUCUAACUUCAAAUAAAUGCAAAUACAACUGUGAUACAAAGUAGUGUUUGUGCCAGUAGUACCAUUAAAAACCCUCAUGUGUGAAUGGGUGUUUAAUUAGGCUGUAUUAGAUUAAUCCCAUGUUUCCAUUGGUUGUAACAAAUGAAAAGAUAGUAUGCACUGCCAUGGGGAUAGACAUUUAAAGCUCAAUGUAACUUUCAUAUUUUUCCAUGUGAUCGGUCAGCUAGGACUUCCUUUUAAUUUGAUGAAAUUUGGUUUGUAAAUCAGAAAACCUUUUAAUUGCAAGAAAUGCAAAGUAGGAAUCUUUUUUUUUUUUAAAGGAUUGACAUUACCUUUGUUGUUCGAUACAUUAAAAUAAGACCCAUAAGGGACAGCUCUAAACAAUGAAUUUCAUAAAAAUAGAUAAAAGCUUGUUCCUUGGGCCUAUGUGGAAAUUCAGACAGAGGCUUAGAAAGAACAACUUAAUACUUCUAAUAUGAUGAUAUUGCCUAGGUAGCAGUAGAAUAUUUGUUAUAAAAGGUCUUAAAUGUCAUUUCCUAAUGACAUUUUCAGGUAAUUUUAACCACUUUUAAAAUAAUUGCAUAUAGAUUAUAGUUAUUGUAUAAGAAAAGACUUGCUUCCAAUUUAAACAAUGUUGGGAAGUUAAAUGUAAAUUUAAGUAGUGAAACAUAAUUUUUGAAUCAGAAAAAUAUUCCAGCCGACGUGUAAGUUUUGCUUUGUCACUGUACUGUAUUCUGUUCAGUAGAACAAAGACCGAUGCAUAAUGAGCCAAUGUAAAUGAAGUCAAAUCAGCAAAAGCAUAGUGGGGGAGGGGGAGGUGUAAAAUAUGACAGUCGGUAUAAUGACCAGGGAGUAGAGAAUUUAAAUGUUUAAUGCCUACACAUUCAGAUUCAUUUUUCUGUCAUCACUUUGAAUGGGUAGACUGAGGUGCUUGAAAGUCCAGAAUGAAAAUAUUAUCCCCUGGACCAGAAGAAUUAUUAAUGUUAUUUAAUAGCACAGAUAUGGUCUGUACUCAAUAUUGUCUUUCUAUUACUUCCCCCACCCACCUCAGGAAGAAAAAAAGGGAUGUGGUUAUAAUUAGGGAUGAUUAGAAAAUGCUGUGUUUAUUGGGGGCUUUCUUUCUUACCCUCCUGUACUACAUGCUAGCUUCCCACUUCUCAGCCAUGAUGGAAGCUCAGAACACAAUAGGAACACAGCAACAAUAUGAAUUGCAAAUACAUGUAUAUCUUUCUGCACAACCUAUCUUAUUAACUCUUAAUAAAAUGAGUAUCCUCUAAAAAAUAUCCUGAGCUGUAAAUUGCUUUACUACUGAUGACGGGCUUUGGAAAAAUGCUACACAUGCCUUACAAUCAACUAGACAGAGUUGUGUUAAACAGAAUUGCUUAGCUCUUGUCUGUAAAUUACUCCCCUCCCUCUCCAAUAAAGGAAUGAAUCUUGCUUAAUAAUCUAUGCUGCUUAGCAUGUGUUAUAACUGUACAUCUGAAAAUCUCCGUAUUUUACAUAUCCCACACUUCAGGACUAUAACAAGCCUUUAUCUUAAUGUUCUCAUAUUUAACAUUUUCCUACAUAAAGCACGAAUUUUCAAGAAUACUGGGAUAAAGAUCAUUUAAUACAGUGUCUCCCACCAUCCCAUUUCUCUCAUGUGCCGCUCCAAACUAUGGCUGUCUUGAAAGAUAUUCAUAAAUUCAUUUCUCUGUCUAGGCAGUUUAACACACAGUAAUUAAACUGGAGCUAUAAACAGCAAAGCACAUACACGGACUUCUCGGAUUUCAAAUAUUACAUUAAACUAGAGAAUGUUAAUCCCUAAAAGUAAGUGCAUUGAUAAUAUGAAGGUGAAAUUCUAUUGGGGGUGGGGAGAUAGGUGGAAAAUGAAUUGGAAAUUAAAGUAAGUUGAAUUUCUAGUUUUACUGUUAGUUAAAUCAUUGAAGAGCAUUGGUAUCUUUACAGCUUUAAAAAAGGGAGAAAAGAUUUCUUUGGCACUGGUGGUGUGCAAUAAAAGGCUUCAGUUAAACUAGCUCCAUGUAUGGGAGGGGUGUGUGUGUUGAGGGUUGGGGAAACACAGGAACCUGAAUACUUGCUUUGUAAAUAUUUAAGCUUUUUGGCAGGCUAGAAUCUAAAGAAGAAAUAAAAUGCUAGCCUUUUACCUUUGAACUCUUUGGUGAAAUAUCUUAAUGUGGCCAAAUGUGAAUACAGUGAACUUAAUCAGUAAAUUUGACUGAGAUUUAUGAAGUUUUUCAUUCCAAAUGUAUUUACAUAUACACAAGCACAUAUAUGUACAUAAAUUUAUUUUAUUACAUCCAUUUUACACAAACUGAACCUUAAGCAGUUGAAGUACUAAAAAAAAGCCAAUCAAAAUACUCUUCAUAUAUCCUUAAGUCCAUAAACCUCUUUAAAUCGUCUCUUUUAAAAAACAACUAAAUUAUGGAAAUGCAGACUGCAUUACAGAAUAUUUGCCAGUUAUAUCUUGAUUCUUAUUUGAAAUUCCCACAAGAAUAUAGGCAUGACGGUAAUAUAAACCAUAGAAACAG
rnacentral:lncRNA from 1 species